AAACACUUCAAUAAAACCCAGGGAUCUAAUCCCAUUGUAUCUCUUCAUUAAGAUUUCUCUAUUUGGCCCUACUUCAAUGAAAUCUGUGUCCCUUCCUUUCUGUAUCAGUUUUAAUUUUGACUACCUUCUUCCCACCCAUCACUGGUGAACCCCAUAAAAAUAUUGUCGCUUUUCAGUGCAGUCUAAAAGAGAGACUUUGCGGCUCUGUUGUCUACUUUUUCAAUUCUGAUUUUCAGUCUGUUUCAUUUAUUUAUUCUUCUCCUACCCACUUAAGCCCCCAUGUUGCAUCACCACUUCCUCAAAAAAUGGACUUCUUCCUCAUAUGAUUGACACCAGGAAUGACUUCAGGUGAGAUUCUGACCCAGCUCCCUGUCUACAGACCCAUGGAUUUAUAUUGGAGGCUGCAAAGUUUAAUUAACACUUUCAUGAUCAUGCAAGUGGCAGACACACUCUCCUUACAACUGGGUUACCCACAAAUGGUAACAGGCUCAAACUGAACCAUCAGCUCUUCUUGGCUUUUGGGCUAGAGCUACACCAUCAGUUGUCCUGGAUCUCCAGCUUGCUGACUGCUGAUCUUGGAACGUCUCAGUAUCCAUAACCAUGUGA
rnacentral:lncRNA from 1 species